UCGGAAACGACUCUAGAAACGUACAGGCGAGAUGGAGAAGGCCGGGGUUGGCGUAGAGUUAGUCUGGAAGACGCCACUGAAGUCGCGAGAGAUGGGCUCGUAAGACUCGCUAGAUCAGAAUUGAUGCCCAAAACAAAUGAGAUCCGACAGAUCAGAAAGUUGAUGACCAGAUUUGGAAGAUGUCAACGCAGCUUGCUGAUGGUGAUAGGGGCAAAAG
rnacentral:misc_RNA from 1 species